GAAUUUCCAGAGCAGAUCAAAUAGUCCAGCGCUAAACACGGUUAGAAAAGAUAUAGACCAAAGAUCUUCUAACAGUGUAAAGCUGUGCUUGGCAGAAUGAGAAAACAUAUGGGUAGUUGUGAUGCAACAAAUAAUGAUGCAAUGUAUUUAGGAGUUCCAGGACCUCUGUUCACAUAGGCAUUGACUACAUGCUGACAAUGAAAAGCCACAGAUAGGUUCUUUGAUAGAACCACUGAUAAGCUUAAGACUAAAUAGAUGUAGGAAAGGAAAUUCUUGCUUUACGAAGCAUAUAUUCUCCACAGGUGUUCUCUUAGCUGUGUCAGACCUGAUUUAAAGAAACUGCUUCUGUGACUGAAGAUCUGAGACAGUUGUCUCUGAGUUAGUUUGGAUUCCUUUCAUAAUCCAUGGAAAGGGUGGUGUUUAUAGGCUGUGAUUGUUCUGAUCUCUCUUUGAUACCUACCCCAGGAUGAGAUGAACUUAAUAAAUACUUCUCUUUCUCUCUAGGAGCUGUGAAGUCAUAGACAAGUAGCAGAGAUGGAGAAGUCCCACCAGUAGUUUUAAGUUCAGUUCCUCUCCCACCUCCCAUUAAGCAGCAAAGCUCUUCUUACUCCUGGUGUGCUGCAAGGAACUGUGUUGCCUGCUGUGGUUAUGAAUCAAAGUUCUGCUCCAAAUCAGGCCAUUUAAUACGCCUGGGAUGUGGGUACCACUGCAAUAGUCCCAAGAAACGCUCAUUUCAGUGUGGAAAAAAAUGCUGGACUUGUUGGCUGUCCCCAAUCCAGGUGAAGAGCUCUGCAGAAAUUACCUGAGGUGGGACUGAAUAUGGCACUUUUGCCAAAUUAUGAGGACUCGGCCAGGAGAUUGUGCCAUCCUGGGCGGAUGGAGGAAGGGGGAAGAGCACGAUGCCAUCCAUAGCCAUUACUUACUGGGUAAGUAACUUACUGGGUAACUUCCUCCCUUGCUUAAGGGAGGAAGCUGCACCCCAUGGGCCAAGGGGCUCUUGGCAGUGAGUUUCU
rnacentral:lncRNA from 1 species